CUUCUAGAAACCCGAACUAAUGGUCGGCACUCUGCACUCUGCAGCGAGGUUUGACGAGCCGAAGAGGGGAAAACCAAGAACUCCGGCGCGAUGGCGAGGACGGGGCGGUCCGUGCUGCUUCUCCUCCUGAUCCCGACGGUGCUCUCCCUGCUAAUGCUCUCCGAGCGCCGCCUCACCGUCGCGCUUAACCCCAUCCAAAGGAAGGAUUUGCCUGCCGAGACUGCGAGUCAGGGCCAUAGCGUCAAGGAUAGCAAGCUAAAUGCGCUUCCUCUGGAACCUGUCGGUGACGUAUUAGUGGAGGAACCGCUCCAUGUAGCCAACGAUUUGAUUGAAUCCGCGGACCAAGAAUUGCCACCGGGGAGGAAGGCUAACAGGGUGCUUUCUGAGACCACUUCCGGUGAUGGUGCCGUAUUGAAGGGUGGCGACCUGAUUGACCAAGUGACAAGGCGGACGGCACAAGAUGGUGGUUUGGUGACGGGCUCAAUGGAUCAGCAGGAGAAGCACACAGGAUCCCAGCAGCAGUCUUCUUCUGAGGGAAGAUCAUUGGAGGCUAUAACACAGAUACCUCAGGGAUAUCAAGGUGCAGGGAAGAACCCUCAAAAAGAAAACACAGAUGGUAGGAGUAAAAAUAUGGCUUCGUCGGAUACUAGAGUCCGGGAUAUCAAGGAUCAUUUAAUCAAGGCAAAGGUCUACCUUGGUCUUGGAGCCAUUCGAGCAAAUCCUCAAUACCUCAGGGACUUGCGACAUCGGAUACGGGAAGUUCAAAAGGUGCUUGGUGAAGCAUCCAAGGACUCUGAUCUACCCAAAAAUGCCAAUGAGAAGGUGAAAGCACUUGAGCAGACAUUGGUCAAGGGUGAACAGACACAGGAUGAUUGCUCUGUUGUUGUCAAAAAGCUCCGGGCUAUGCUUCAUUCGGCAGAGGAGCAGCUGUAUGCACAAAAAAAGCAAACUGUUUUUCUAACACAACUUGCAGCCAAAACCCUUCCCAAAGGUCUUCACUGCCUCCCCUUGACGCUAGCUAAUGAAUACUUUUCAUUGGAUCCUAGUCAGCAACAAUUCCCAAACCAGGAGAAACUUGAUGAUCCCAAACUGUAUCACUAUGCCUUGUUCUCAGAUAAUAUAUUGGCAACAGCAGUUGUUGUUAAUUCGACAGUGUUAAAUGCCAAGCAUCCUUCUCGUCAUGUUUUCCACAUAGUAACUGACAGACUAAAUUAUGCUCCAAUGAGAAUGUGGUUCCUCUCUAAUCCUCCUGGAAAAGCAACAAUUGAAGUACAAAAUAUUGACGAAUUCACAUGGCUAAAUGACAGCUCGAGCCUGUUGCUGAAACAACUGGGAUCUCAAUCUAUGAUCGAUUAUUACUUUACGGCACAAAGUGCAAAUUCAGAUUCAUAUUUGAAGUACAGAAACCCAAAGUAUCUUUCAAUGCUUAAUCAUCUGCGAUUCUACUUGCCUGAGAUUUAUCCAAAGCUCGACAAGAUGGUUUUUCUUGAUGGCGAUGUAGUAGUAAGAAAGGACAUAACUGGCCUCUGGUCAAUCGAUAUGAAGGGGAAGGUUAAUGGUGCUGUAGAUACUUGUGGAGAGAGCUUCCAUAGCUUCGAUCGUUACUUGAAUUUCUCAAGUCCUGUUGUUGCAAAGAAUUUUGAUCCCAAUGCAUGUGUCUGGGCUUUUGGAAUGAAUAUGUUUGAUCUGGCUGAAUGGAGGCGGCAGAACAUAACUGAAAUCUACCACUUUUGGCAGAAGCUUAAUGAAGAUGGAUCGCUAUGGAAACUUGGCACUCUCCCUCUAGGUCUGGUUACAUUCUGGAACAAGACAUUCCCCCUCGAUCGAUCAUGGCAUGUUCUCGGUCUAGGUUACAACCCACAUGUAAGCAGUGGUGACCUGGAGCGUGCCGCGGUCAUACAUUACAAUGGCAACAUGAAGCCAUGGCUUGAGAUUGGCCUGCCCAAGUUCCGAAGCUACUGGUCAGAGUAUCUUGACUACGAUCAGCCUUUUCUGCGGGAAUGCAACAUCAAUCCGUGAAGCAAGACCAGCACCUCCCAAGCCAUUCUGACAUCUCUAGCCUAGUUAGUUCAGUGUUUGAUUUAUUUUUCGGUAUCCCAUGUUGGGUAUGGUUUGUGGAGAAGGUUGUAGCAGUUGAGAUUACAUGCCAGUAGGGGAAAAUAAAUUCUGUAGUGCAAAUACUUUUUGGCAUGCCAUCGUUGUGUACGAAAUGUUAGAUUGCUGCCGUCGAGUAUCUGUAACAGGGAAGUUAGAAAUACACGAGAAAGACCCAAAGACCCUGGGUCUUAGUAGUCAGG
rnacentral:rRNA from 1 species